rnacentral:rRNA from 1 species
UGAGGAAUAUUGGUCAAUGGCCGGGAGGCUGAACCAGCCAAGUCGCGUGAGGGAAGACGGUCCUAUGGAUUGUAAACCUCUUUUGUCAGGGAGCAAAAACUGCCACGUGUGGCAGGAUGAGAGUACCUGAAGAAAAAGCAUCGGCUAACUCCGUGCCAGCAGCCGCGGUAAUACGGAGGAUGCGAGCGUUAUCCGGAUUUAUUGGGUUUAAAGGGUGCGUAGGCGGACAGUUAAGUCAGCGGUAAAAUUGAGAGGCUCAACCUCUUCCCGCCGUUGAAACUGAUUGUCUUGAGUGGGCGAGAA